UACGAGGGGGGCAAAUGUUGUUCGGAAUCACUGGGCGUAAAGGGAGCGUAGGCGGGUGUUUAAGUUAGGUGUUUAAUCCUGGGGCCCAACCCCAGUCGUGCACCUAAAACUGGACAUCUUGAAUAGUGGAGAGGUCAGUGGAAUUGGGGGUGUAGCGGUGGAAUGCGCAGAUAUCAGGAAGAACACCAACGGCGAAGGCAGCUCGCUGGGACGGAACUGACGCUGAGGCGCGAAAGCGUGGGGAGCGAACAGG
rnacentral:rRNA from 1 species